ACAGGGAUUGCCCUAGUAACGGCGAGUGAAGCGGCAACAGCUCAAAUUUGAAAUCUGAUCUCUUCGAGGUCCGAGUUGUAAUUUGUAGAGGGCGCUUUGGUGUUGGCUGCGGUCUAAGUUCCUUGGAACAGGACGUCAUAGAGGGUGAGAAUCCCGUCUGUGGUCGCAUGUCUUCACCGUGUAAAGCCCCUUCGACGAGUCGAGUUGUUUGGGAAUGCAGCUCUAAAUGGGAGGUAAAUUUCUUCUAAAGCUAAAUACUGGCCAGAGACCGAUAGCGCACAAGUAGAGUGAUCGAAAGAUGAAAAGCACUUUGGAAAGAGAGUCAAAAAGCACGUGAAAUUGUUGAAAGGGAAGCGCUUGCAGCCAGACUUGCUUGCAGUUGCUCAUCCGGGCGUUCGCCCGGUGCACUCUUCUGUAGGCAGGCCAGCAUCAGUUUGGGCGGUUGGAUAAAGGCCUCUAUCAUGUAUCUUCUCCGGAAGACCUUAUAGAGGAGGCGUAAUGCAACCAGCCUGGACUGAGGUCCGCGCAUCUGCUAGGAUGCUGGCGUAAUGGCUGUAAGCGGCCCGUCUUGAAACACGGACCAAGGAGUCUAACAUCUAUGCGAGUGUUUGGGUGUCAAGCCCGAGCGCGUAAUGAAAGUGAACGGAGGUGGGAACCCUCGGGUGCACCAUCGACCGAUCCUGAUGUCUUCGGAUGGAUUUGAGUAAGAGCAUAGCUGUUGGGACCCGAAAGAUGGUGAACUAUGCUUGAAUAGGGUGAAGCCAGAGGAAACUCUGGUGGAGGCUCGCAGCGGUUCUGACGUGCAAAUCGAUCGUCAAAUUUGGGCAUAGGGGCGAAAGACUAAUCGAACU
rnacentral:rRNA from 1 species